rnacentral:lncRNA from 1 species
AUACAUUCUAUUAGGCCCAAAAACACUUUAUAUUAAUAAUAUCAUCCAAAAACACUUGUAUUAACAUUUAUAUCCAAACAAUGUAAUUCAGAAGAUAAAUUAUCUAGCAACCAAGAGCAAAUGUUUCAAAUUUACAAGCCAAGAAGCCAUCAAAUCUUAUAGUGCAGAACUCCUCCCAUAUUCUCAGCAAAAUUCCAGCACAUAAACUCCCAUUGAGAACAACUACCCAGCAAAACUCCCAAGUCCAGUAGUUUCCUUAAACCUGCAUGUGCAACACUAAUUGAAUAUGCCCAGCACUAUCAUUAUAAAAAAUUAACUAUUACUGUAAAACUCUUAAGUUUUAGAUACAGUAAAAUCAUUACAAAUUCAAACUCAAUCUGCAUGUGUAGCACCAAUGAAUAUAGCCAGCACUAUCAUUAUAAAGAGCUAUUUAUUAAAGUAAAACUCUAAGUUUCAAAUGCAACUUAAAUAAACUACCUGCAGAAUCAUAAGGCAACAACACAAACUCAAAACAUCAUUUUGAAGGUUAGCCAAAUUCAAACCGUCAAUUUCAAUGAACAGAGCAAAAACCUGCUGCUCUAUUCUACUUAGAGUUUGCCUUAAUUCUUCAAGAGCUUGAACUUGCAUAGUUUCAUGUUCUUGAGCCUCUCUAAGACAACUCUCUAAUUCAGCUUUUGCUUCAUUGUUGGCACAUUCCUCAGUUAAUUCUUUAGCCUCCUUGGCUGCAGCCAAAGCAUUUAUGUCGUAAUAUUUUUGUUCUACAAGUUCUACUUGGUGUUUCUCAAUUGUUUCUUAAAGCAAAUUCUCUAUGGCUGUUUUGUCCCUCUUGAUGCUCUCUACUUUAUUUUCUUCAACCCAGGAGGACAAAGAUAAUACAAAUCUUUAACAAACUAUUGCAGUUCAUCAAAACAAAGUUCAGAAGUGUAAUUUAGUCAACAAAAGACGCAUCUACUAAGUUCAUUUAUGCAGUUAAAGCAAAAAAAAAAAGUUUAUCCAUCCCAAUACUUCAGAAAUUUCAUUUCCUCCCAAGUGCUACAGAAUUAAUUUUUCAACUAAUUAAAACUAAUAUGACUUUAAAAACUUCACUUACAUAAAAACUAAUUCUCAAUUACAAAUAGUCUGAGUUUGAUUAAACUCAAAAAACAUCACAAGACAUAAAAAGCCUGUCAAGAUCACAAGUAAACAAGAUUUUGCUAAAAUAUGCCAAAACGUCCAUAUUAUCUUCAUUUAUAUGACGAUUGAAGAAAAUAGCAGCUCGAUCUAAUAUACCAGCUAACUCUACAAUUAAAAAGAAUGCUUUGAGAAUCCAACUACCUGAAGUUUGGUAACCAAACCUUUCUUCUGCUCUUCAAGCUCUCUAAUCUAGUUCUUAUGAAAAGGGGAAUAAAAGAAAAAAGUAUAUUCAUUAGAAAGAGCAGUUGAGAUAAAGUCUUUUGAAAACCAAACAAUAUGUAAAACUGCAUGUGUACUUAGAGACCUUAAUUUCUGGAUUUGAGCUUCUUACGCAGUUUUCUUUUUUGAAAGCUCUUCACCUGAAAUGACAGAUGAAUGUUAAGCAGGGGCCUCAUCACAUAAUUAUUGGCUACUGCCAAUCAAAUAUGUAAAAUCCAAAUACAAUGCAUCUGCCAGGCAGAAAAAGCUAAAGAUAGGGAAAGGAAUGGUUUAAUCACUUUCUAUAGUUUUAAAAAUUUUGAUUUUAAAUAUAUCAUAAACUAAGAUGGAAAUUGCACAUUAACUAAUGCAGUAGUCAAAUUUUUGACAUACUAAAGACAAAAUCAUGGGAUGAAAACAAAAAGAUAUGCAUGACAUGCUAUUAGAGGGACAUAUGAACAUGAUUCUUCUUCCAAUAACUGCUCAAACUAUUAGUUUAAAAUUGUAACCGAAAAUAAAUGAAGAGAACUUAAUCCAACAACUCCCAAUUUAGGACUCACAUUUGAAAACAAUUUCUCGGUUUUAAGUCACAUUCCUAACCUAUCACAGAGUGGAACCUAUGUAAAGACGAGCAUGUACACACACACACCAAAAAACAAAAAAAAAGGUCUGGAACAAAAAGCAUACCCUUCUUUCUAGAGUUACAACGUAACCCUUUGACGGUAUUCCUCCCGUAAAGUUUCAAGUUCUAUAUCACUGUUUUUUUUCUAAUCCAAAACUUCAAGCUAUUAAAUCACAAAUUAAAAAAAAAAAACCUUAAAUCUCUCUAUCUCUAUCAUCUAAUGCAACUUCUUAACCAAACCCAUCAUUUCAUUUAGUCAAUCAGUCAGUCACUUACUCACAAACUCUCCAAAAUACAAAAUUUCUCUCAACCACUUAGGGCUUUAAACAAAAUUAGAUGAAGAAGAAAAACAAAACCUGGAAUUCAAGGUUUAGGGCUGCAAUCCUCUAGUUCACGUGACAAAGUCAGGGAGUUGAUGGUUCUGGUUGCGUCACGCCAUCGCAAUUUGUGGUCAUGGUAACCGACUUGAAUUUUGUCAUGGGUCUGUGAUUUGGGUGUUGCUUUGUCGUUUGCUCGAUGGUGGUAGUUGCUGAUUGUGUAUGGAAAACUAUAUAUAGGGAAUGGAUUUGGCUAGGUUUUGAGUGCUAAUUGUGAAAGUGAGAGUGAUGAUAAUUGUGCCUAGGGUUUGAGUGUCGUUUGUGAGAGUGAGAGUGAUAAUGACUAUGGUGAGUGUAGGCUAAUUGAUUGAGAGUGUCACGAUGAUUGUGGCUAAGGUUACAGUGCUGAUUGUGGAGUAACAGUGACGAUGAACGUGCCUCGGGUUUGAGUGGCCUUUGCGAGAGUCAGAAUGACGAUGGCGAUGGUGAGUUGUGUAGAGUUUAGGACUUAAGAAAUGUUUUUGCUUUGUUUAGAUUUCGGCUAAAUGCACCGUUUUGUACUAUAUAUUUUUUUUUAUUUCAAAAAUCAUUUCACAUGCUAAACGC